UGAAAGGAUCGGGUGAUAGCAGGCAA
rnacentral:piRNA from 1 species